GAACGAACGCUGGCGGCAUGCCUAACACAUGCAAGUCGAACGAGACCUUCGGGUCUAGUGGCGCACGGGUGCGUAACGCGUGGGAACCUGCCUUUAGGUUCGGAAUAACUCAGAGAAAUUUGAGCUAAUACCGGAUGAUGUCUUCGGACCAAAGAUUUAUCGCCUUUAGAUGGGCCCGCGUUGGAUUAGCUAGUUGGUGGGGUAAAGGCCUACCAAGGCGACGAUCCAUAGCUGGUCUGAGAGGAUGAUCAGCCACACUGGGACUGAGACACGGCCCAGACUCCUACGGGGGGCAGCAGUGGGGAAUAUUGGACAAUGGGCGAAAGCCUGAUCCAGCAAUGCCGCGUGAGUGAUGAAGGCCUUAGGGUUGUAAAGCUAUUUUACCCGAGAUGAUAAUGACAGUAUCGGGAGAAUAAGCUCCGGCUAACUCCGUG
rnacentral:rRNA from 1 species